rnacentral:lncRNA from 1 species
UUUCUCUUAUGAGUUCGUCUUUGAUUCUUAAGUUAUUUAGAAUGUGUUGUAUAAUUUCCCAGUUGGGAGCAUUGCCAAGCUAUCUUUUUAUGAUUGAUAUUUAUUAUUGUUGUUAUGUCCUAGUGUAUGGUCUACUUGGUGAAAGUUCCAUGUGCAACUGAAAAGAAUAUGAAGUGUGAAACGUAUGUGAAGAAUGAUGGUGGGACUCUGGUAUAAUCAUCUUGGAAAAAGUAUUUGUCAUUCUUGUGUUAAACAUAUACCUACCUAUGACCUAGCCAUUUCACUCGUAGAUGUUCAUCCAAGAGAACUGAAAAUGUAUGUCUACACAGAAAGUUUUACAUUAACAUUCAUUGUAGCUUCAUUUGUAAUAGCCAAAAACAACCCACCAGUAGGUGAGUGGAUAAACAAAAUUGGCGUAUCUAUACAAUGGACCACCACUUACCAAAAAAAACAAAAAAGAAAAAAAAAACAGCUCCUGAUACUGGCUUUUUAGAUGUACCUCUUUGUAUUUUAGUGGUUGCUCUAGAAGUUUACAUUGUACAUCUUUAUUAUAACCUACUUACUGUAUAUCUUUAUUAUAACCUACUUACUACCUACACCUUAUAUGUACUACUUCCCAUUAAGUGUAAGAACCUUGCAUCUGUAUAAUUAAUUCCAUUGGCA